rnacentral:rRNA from 1 species
UACGUAGGGUCCGAGCGUUGUCCGGAAUUAUUGGGCGUAAAGGGCUCGUAGGCGGUCCGUCACGUCGGGAGUGAAAACUCAGGGCUCAACCCUGAGCGUGCUUCCGAUACGGGCGGACUAGAGGUAUGCAGGGGAGAACGGAAUUCCCGGUGUAGCGGUGAAAUGCGCAGAUAUCGGGAGGAACACCGGUGGCGAAGGCGGCAUCCUGGACCGGCAUUGACGCUGAGGCGCGAAAGCCAGGGAGCAAGCGGG